AGUGAAAGAAAAAAGUAACAGAGACGGCAACGUUCUUCCCCUAGCUAGUCGUCAGAGAAGACGGUAACGUCCUUCUCGAUUGUUUCUGACUUGCUCUCGAAGAGGUAGAAUUGGGGGAAGAGGACGAAGAAACGGUAUCAAGGACAACGCAGGAAGAGGAAAACGACGCUGUUUCAUCGUUUUGAUAGCCUCAAUUAACUCUGAUUGAAUUCAUUGUAGAAUGACCGUAUUGAUUCAUUUUCAGGGGAAGAUUCAUCAGUGCCAAUCGCUAGACCUAAACGUCUUUCCCUUUUCAGCUCAAUGUGACAACGGUCUGAAUUGAGGCAACCCUAGCUGACAGAGGGACAGAAGCAGAAGUUCUAGCAACUGAAGUAAGAUUAAAUGUAACUGGAUGGAGUAAAAUACAAGAUGUAUUCUAGUUAUUUGUGGGAUACAAGUCUUAUCAAAAUCAGAUGGCUUUUGGAUGACUCUGGGCGUUAAAGUUAUCCUAUAUGUGGCUGUGGCAUUAAAUGUUGAAGAUUGAUUCUGCCACGUGUCACAUUAUUAGUGUUCACAAAAAAUGUGGGGACGAAGGUUGUAAGCAGGAUAAGUGGGGACAUACUUUCCACAACCGUAUUCCUAUCCCAGUUGUGGCUCUGCAGGUCUUUUAGUUCCUUUUCGUCUUGACGCAAGCUCAGCCUAUGGACCACAGUUAUCUAAACUGAACAUGUUAUGUAAAAUUAUCAGUAGGAAGAAGUGAAUUUACCGCAAGCAAG